rfam:Triticum aestivum genome assembly, contig: Triticum_aestivum_CS42_TGACv1_scaffold_526789_6DL
UACAUACUCCCUCCGUCCUGAAUUACUUGUCACAAAAAUAGAUAAAAAUGGAUGUAUGUAGAACUAAAAUACAUCUAGAUACAUCCAUUUUCACGACAAGUAAUUCCGUACUGAGGGAGUAAUCA